rnacentral:ncRNA from 1 species
UUGGUGUUGCCACGCUGACGCGCCCCGUGGAAGGGAUCAGCGUGGUGAUGGUGGGCAAUCUCCGCCCUAGCCGGGGCGGCGUGUGCCGUUUGAGCGUUCGGCGUUCGGGAGUAGCCGCUCUCGGGCGCCGUCG